rnacentral:rRNA from 1 species
UACGAGGGGGGCGAGCGUUGUUCGGAAUUAUUGGGCGUAAAGGGUGCGUAGGCGGUUUGGUAAGUCUGAUGUGAAAUCUAUGGGCUCAACUCAUAGUCUGCAUCGGAAACUGCCGGGCUUGAGUCCGGGAGAGGUGAGUGGAACUGCGAGUGUAGAGGUGAAAUUCGUAGAUAUUCGCAAGAACACCAGUGGCGAAGGCGGCUCACUGGCCCGGUACUGACGCUGAGGUGCGAAAGCGUGGGGAGCAAACAGG